CUCCUCUUGACCUUUUCUAAUAUGCUUUGCUAGGUCUCUAAUUACUAUAACCAUUAUAUCUUUAAUUUACUAAUUUUUUUAAUGAUAGGCUAGGUUGUUAUUCAUCCCUUCCUCCUAUUCGCUUAUUUGAAUAAUUAACCGUUUAAAAAUUUGUAUAUAUACAGGGUGUCCCAAAAAACCCGAAAACUAUUGAAAUCACGUAUUGUUAAAAUUGAAUGCCCUACCAAAAAGCUGAACGUAAUGAUGCGUAAAAUAUUGACAAGGUGCAUGUAUUAAAAUUUAGUUAAGAACAUCUCCUUGUAAAGUGCGCGAUUUUCUGCUCUUGGGAAUUUAAAGCAGCUUCUUAAAUAGUUUCUUUAUGCAUAAAAUUUACUUAUGUCAAUCAUUUAUGCACUCGUGGGAACCAACAGAGUGCUAAGACAUUCAAAUUCUAACAAUUAAAUUGUUAUUGGUGAUUGCAAUAGUUUUCGUUUUUUUGGGACACCCUGUAUAAC